CUGGGGCGGCAUAGACAUGCAGUCUCCGGAUGGGGGCAACCCCAUUAGUGGCAGAAUCGAGGAGUACGCGUAGGUAUCUAUCCUUGGGUGGGGGAUAACUGUGGGAAAAUACAGCUAAUACCGCAUGAUCCAUGAGGGGCAAAGGCGCAAGUCGCCUAGGGAGGAGCCUGCGUCCGAUUAGCUAGAGGGUGGGGUAAAGGCCUACCAAAGCUGCGAUCGGUAGCUGGUCUGAGAGGAUGAUCAGCCACACUGGGACUGAGACACGGCCCAGACUCAGUAGGGAGGCAGCAGUGGGGAAUAUAGGGAGAAUGGGCGCAAGACUGAUCCAGCAAUGCCGCGUGGGUGAAGAAGGUCUUCAGAUUGUAAAAGCCUUUCGGCGGGGACGAUGAUGACGAGACCCGCAGAAGAAACCCCGGCUAGCUUCGUGCCAGCAGCCGCGGUAAU
rnacentral:rRNA from 1 species